rnacentral:lncRNA from 1 species
CCGAGAUAAGCAGGGCAGGAGAUGUGUCACGAGAUCCUUCACCAGUUGCUCGACAUCACAACCAAUGUGUGUUGUGAAGGUGUGCAAUUGCUCACUGUCGGGGAAAAGAACAUGCAGUAGUACUUGUACUAAUAAAAAUUCAGGGGGAGAUGUGACUCCCUUCAUUGCAUGUGCUUCUGUGCUGCUCAUUCAUGUUGGUGUGUUUCUUUUUGUUACGGUGUCAGUGUGCGCUCUGAAUUAUUUUACUAAAAGGACUUUUAAUGUUAAAGUGGGUAAAGC